rnacentral:rRNA from 1 species
AACGAACGCUGGCGGCAUGCCUAACACAUGCAAGUCGAACGAGACCUUCGGGUCUAGUGGCGCACGGGUGCGUAACGCGUGGGAACCUGCCCUUAGGUUCGGAAUAACUCCCCGAAAGGGGUGCUAAUACCGGAUAAUGUCUUCGGACCAAAGAUUUAUCGCCUUUGGAUGGGCCCGCGUUGGAUUAGCUAGUUGGUAGGGUAAAAGCCUACCAAGGCGACGAUCCAUAGCUGGUCUGAGAGGAUGAUCAGCCACACUGGGACUGAGACACGGCCGGGACUCGUAGGGAAGGGGGGAGGGGGGAAUAGAGGAAAGGGGAGCAAGUGAGGACGGCGCUAGGCGGGGUAAGUGAUGAGGCUAGGGGUGUAGAAAGGUUUUUUUACCCGGGACGAUAAUGACGGUACCGGAUAAAAAAGCCCCGGCUAACUCCGUG